UCGAAUUGAGCAAGUUGUUGUGUGAACCGAGAGAAAUGCAGUAGCAUUGGUCUUAAUUAAUUUGCAACCCAAAACCAUAGAACUCACCAUUUAUUUGCUUUAGUUGCUUUGAAAUCUUAAUAAACCGGCAUUAAUACGGCGGCUGUUGCAUUGGAAAUUUGAGCCUGUAACUUCAAGUUUUAAUACAAAAUCUCCUCCUCGCAAUUUGUCGGCCGCACUGCUCGAUGCAACCCCAAAUCAAAUUAAAUAAAGGUAAGACAACAUUCAAUGGUAAUAUUCACACCUCAAAUGUUAAAAUUCUUAGAGAUUUGAACAAAAUAUUGAUGCGAAGCUUUAUUUUAAAUAUUAUUAUUUACCUUAAGUUAUUCGGUUAAAUACUUCUUUUAAUAAGGUAUCAGGGUAAAGAUUCAAAGUUCAACUCUUUGUUCACAUUCGAACUUUUAUCUUUUGACUUAUUUAUGUCUUAAGUGGUAAUACACCCGUUAAAAUAUAUUGUAAAUAUCAUUAUUAAACUCUUAUAUAGAAUUUAAGAGUGUGUUUGG
rnacentral:lncRNA from 1 species